AAAAGAACUUUGGAGAGAGAGUUCAAGAGAACGUGAAAUCGUUGAAGUGGAACCGGAGAGAGUUGACGUAGUCUGAUGGAUAAUUAUUGCAAGUAUCGUAUUCGUCGUCWUCGAUGAUUAUGAUUAAGCAAUAUGUAUGCCAUUAACGACUGUGCUGACAAUAUCGACUAUACGAUCCAAGCUAUGUUGACAUGUUGCCCAUUUUAUUCAUAUAAAAUGGUGUCUUGGUUACAUUUAGUAAGGUUCGUUGUAUGUUGAUGUUGAUACAUAUGCAUUGAAAUAUUAUCUAUAGAUAAUUAUGUCAGCAUAAAAGUCGACCACCCCUCCGACCCGUCUUGAAACACGGAA
rnacentral:rRNA from 1 species